GAUGAACGCUGGCGGCGUGCUUAACACAUGCAAGUCGAACGGAACUACUCCAAUGAGAGUCUUCGGAAAGGAUUUGGUUUAGUUUAGUGGCGGACGGGUGAGUAACGCGUGGGUAACCUGCCCUAUACAGGGGGAUAACAGUUGGAACGACUGUUAAUACCGCAUAAGCGCACAGGAGCGCAUGCUCCGGUGUGAAAAACUCCGGUGGUAUAGGAUGGACCCGCGUCUGAUUAGCUGGUUGGCGGGGUAACGGCCCACCAAGGCGACGAUCAGUAGCCGGCCUGAGAGGGUGAACGGCCACAUUGGGACUGAGACACGGCCCAAACUCCUACGGGAGGCAGCAGUGGGGAAUAUUGCACAAUGGGGGAAACCCUGAUGCAGCGACGCCGCGUGAGCGAAGAAGUAUCUCGGUAUGUAAAGCUCUAUCAGCAGGGAAGAAAAUGACGGUACCUGACUAAGAAGCCCCGGCUAACUACGUG
rnacentral:rRNA from 1 species